rnacentral:pre_miRNA from 1 species
CGCCUACAGCCACUCUUACCGGACCCGGGAGGAGCUGUGGGACAAGAUUCUUGGUGCCAUUACGGAGAACUCCAAGAUUGUCCUGCAGAUGGGCAAUGCCCGUCUGGCUGCGCAUG